UAACUUCGAUAUUCUUACAUCGGAACGAAUCCGAACUUAAAUAUCAUACUCAAUAGUCGUAAAUACAACCUCCCCAAAAUACGACUUAAAUCCAACGGCCGGAUUCUACAUUAAUUACCCGCCAAAAAUACCACACUUCGGAAAUUCACAAACCUAUCCAAAUCUCAUCCAAAAAUUCCAUAAAUCACACCAAUAUACUCCUCUUAAUAUUCCACAUUUAAAAAACCCCUAAAAAUCUCCUAACCGGCGGCGGCGCCGCCGGCGGCUCCGCCGGCAGCCGUUUUCCGGCGACCUGCAAAUGCUACCAAAUUUUAACAGAAUCUUCCUCUCAAUCUCCUCUACAACUUUCAUGACCAACACAUCACCCAAUUCCAAGCCUAACUAGGCUAAUCGAACGAAAAUAACUUAAAAGCCUAGAAAUUUCAACUCCACAUUUCUCCUUACCUAGCUCAAGAGGGAGGGAGCCGCUUGGAGGGGUUGUUGCACGGGAGGAGGGCUACAAAACCGUACCAAGCUUGCCCGGAUUGGUGGCCGGAGGAGGAAGUUCCGGCGAAGGGAAGCUCGGGGCAGCCCUUGCUUUCGGGCGGCACCGCUCUCUCACGGCGGCGCUAGGGCUCCUCUCACCGGUCUAGAAAUGUUGCUAGGAGGGAGACCGACCGAACGGGACCGGUCCGGCGGCGAACGGAGGUCGGACGGCGGCGGGAGGACGGCCGGAAUUCUGCUGGGUGUAGAGAGAAGAAAAUUGGGUGGGAAGAGAGAAAACGGGAGGGAGAGAGAGAGAAAGGAGGAAGAAAUGGGUUGGGCUCGGCCCAGCCGACCCAACACUCCUUUUUAACCCAAACUUCCAAAAUAAAAACACCCCGAAAAAUAAUACCCGAAUAAAAAUUACCUUUUACUAGCUAAAAUUUACUAUUUUUACCGUCGUCGUAUUUCCUUAAUACGAAUAAUCCUCCGAACAUAAUCGUCCCCGAAACCCCUCUAGGGACCAAUUAAACUAUUUACUCAUGAUCAAGACGGUAAAAUUCUUAUUAUAAUCACGCUAGUAAAUAAGGUAAAAAUAUAAGGGUCGGGAUGUGACAAGAACGACGUCAAUCUCGAGGAAGGCCUCAACGUUGUCGCUACGUUUAGUCCUAUUGGAUCUUGGAUAUGCCGACCUAACGAGGUGUCCUUCGAUCUCGGAAAUGCAGACCUAGCGAGGCAUCCUUCAUCAUCUCUAAUCCGUCGCGUUCGAUCGUAUUUCUGAUCGGUCAAACGCUGAGGAAUUUCGUGACUCAUCAUCCGCAACGAGCGAAGACGGGAGCUCCGUCUACGGAGCGACGUCUUUUCUGUCGUCGUCGGCCGCUGGAUUCGAUAUGCAAUUCUCUUGAUUUCCUUUUAUGCUUAAGCUUUUAAUCUUCUAAUAAUUGUUUGUUUGUUUUUAUGGUUGAGUAAAUAUCCUGUAGUAGUUUUGUCAGUGACAGUAGUAGCUUUUGUUAGUUAGAGUAGUAUUUUUUGUUGGUAACGGUAGUAGCUUAUAUUGAUGGAGGCAAUAGCUUUUAUGUCUGGCAGUAGUAGUUUUUGUAUAUAGGGGUAGUAGCUUUUGUUUAUGUUGGUAGUAGCUUUUGUUUAUGUCGGUAAUAACUUUUGUUGUGGCGGUAGCUUUUGUAUAUAAGGGUAGUAGCUUUUGUUUAUGUUGGUGGUGGCUUUUGUUUAUCUUGGUAGUAGCUUUUGUUGGUAGCGGUAGUAGCUUUUGUAAGCGGUGGUAGUAGCUUU
rnacentral:lncRNA from 1 species